rnacentral:rRNA from 1 species
AGAGUUUGAUCCUGGCUCAGGAUGAACGCUAGCUACAGGCUUAACACAUGACAAGUCGAGGGGAAACGACAUACGAAAGCUUGCUUUUGAUGGGCGUCGACCGGCGCGACGGUGAGUAACGCGUAUCCAACCUGCCCACCACGUUGGGAUAACCUUGCGAAAGUAAGACUAAUACCCAAUGAUAUCUCUAGAAGACAUCUGAAAGAGAUUAAAGAUUUAUCGGUGAUGGAUGGGGAUGCGUCUGAUUAGCUUGUUGGCGGGGUAACGGCCCACCAAGGCGACGAUCAGUAGGGGUUCUGAGAGGAAGGUCCCCCACAUUGGAACUGAGACACGGUCCAAACUCCUACGGGAGGCAGCA